rnacentral:rRNA from 1 species
CAAAGGCUCAAAUUUCGAAUCUAGCACCUUCGGUGUUCGAGUUGUAAUUUGAAGAUGGUAACCUUGGGUUUGGCUCUUGUCUAUGUUCCUUGGAACAGGACGUCAUAGAGGGUGAGAAUCCCGUCUGAUGAGAUGCCCAUUCCUAUGUAAGGUGCUAUCGAAGAGUCGAGUUGUUUGGGAAUGCAGCUCUAAGUGGGUGGUAAAUUCCAUCUAAAGCUAAAUAUUGGCGAGAGACCGAUAGCGAACAAGUACAGUGAUGGAAAGAUGAAAAGAACUUUGAAAAGAGAGUGAAAAAGUACGUGAAAUUGUUGAAAGGGAAGGGCAUUAGAUCAGACUUGGUGUUUUACGAUUAUCUUCUCUUCUUGAGUUGUGCACUCGUAUUUCACUGGGCCAGCAUCGAUUCGGAUGGCAAGAUAAUGGCAGUUGAAUGUGGCUUCACUUCGGUGGAGUGUUAUAGCUUCUGCUGAUAUUGCCUGUCUGGAUCGAGGGCUGCGUCUUUUGACUAGGAUGCUGGCGUAAUGAUCUAAUGCCGCCCGUCUUGAAAACACGGACCA